rnacentral:tRNA from 1 species
GCCCGGAUGGUGAAAUUGGUAGACACAUCGGACUUAAAAUCCGAAGCCGCAAGGCGUACGGGUUCGACCCCCGUUCCGGGUACCA